UGUGGGAGCUGGCUUGCCUGCGAUAGCGGUGUUUCAGGUUAGGUAUCUGUUACUGAUACACCGCUAUCGCAGGCAAGCCAGCUCCCACA
rnacentral:misc_RNA from 1 species